AAGUCGUAACAAGGUUUCCGUAGGUGAACCUGCGGAAGGAUCAUUACCAGGUUUCUCGCGCAAGCGAGGCGACCCCGAUCUAAGUCAUCACUACUGCGGCGAUGGGCGAACGUCCGGACGGGUUCUCGGCCCGAAACGACGGGAGCCGAUCUCAGCAGGGAUUCCUUUCGGCGGAGGGCUCGCGGCUGAGCUUGCAUACCACAAGUGUGGUGUCGAGCGAAGGCGCGGCCGCCGUCGGCCGUAUAACUCUGAGUAUCGUGAAGUACGAAGAUGAAGCAAAAAGAAACAAAACUUUCAACAACGGAUCUCUUGGCUCUG
rnacentral:misc_RNA from 1 species